UUAAGGGUUUUCAGCGCUGGUCAGUGUGUGAGCCUCUCGGAGCCGGCCCUGGGUGGGAGCGGGGAAAGUGGUUCUCAUUAGCGUGAGAUUUUGAAGGCGUUUGUCUGUGUUAGCGUUGUAAUGAGGGCAGUUCAUUCACUGCCUUGGUUUGGAGCUUCUUCAGCCGGCCAGGCGGCGGCUCUGAGCCUCGCUGAGGUGCUCUGGCUGUCCUGACCCCGGGAAAGUGCUCUGGGCAAUGUGUCCGGCAUCCCGCACCAGCUGCUGUUGCAGGGUCAGGCAGCAGUGAAAAGGAGCCAGUGUGCGUGUGCCCGCACUGAAGGGAGAGUAGGAAGAGAUCAGCUAUUUUUAGCAACAGAACGCGGUGAGAGGUCCGAGAGAGCGACUUAGGAAUGUCUCGGCCAUAGGGCCGGACGCUGAAGUCAGACAGCAGUGGGUUUCAGAUCUGUGAUAAGUUAGGGCUCCUCGCCUUCCUUUGUCACUUGCCAUGGCCUUGUGUAAGCAUGGGGGAUGGAAGAAUGCCCUUGAGCCAUUACAGUGCUUUUGUUUCUCUCCCACUGUCCAAGGAGAGAGAGAGAGAGAGACUUUAAUCCACGAGGAGCGUUCCUUGAGCGUUUCCGUGUGAGUUGUUCCAGAGGCGGUUCGGUGAACACGUGGAUUGCAGUGAUUUUAGGUUGGCUCAGCCCAGCAUUGGGCAGGGCUCGGUACUUCCUGGCAGCACUCCCAGGAGCAGAGCAAAAGCUGAACUUCCUUCCUCAGCCUGUAUCUGCUGGAAUCACGUACCUGGGACUGUGCCUUCCCCCACACUCCUGGGCUCUGUGCAGGGAGAGACCAUUGGAGAGAUUGCUAGAUUUGGAAGUUAGGUUCUGGACAUCCAGCAGAGAAGAUGGGUAGGUGUAAAUUAUAAACAGCAGGCUGAAUUGAAAUUGUUUCAGAGGAAAACAAUGACAUGAUUUCCUGUUAGUGUACUGAAACAGCUCGUCCUUUUCUCUGUCUUGGCUGGUGCAGUCCAGAUUCGUUUGCCAGGCAGGGAAUGUUUGAAGAUUGCACCUUGCACAAGUGCAAAAGCAAUGUUUUAUUGGAGCAGCUUUGGUAAUUUAACUGAUAAGCUUCCUGGGCUGGUCCUGCGAGGGGAGAAAGUCCAGCACUCUGGAGCAGAAGAGUUAGUUCAGUGUGCCUGUUGGCACUCGUGUCUCACAUUUUAUGGAAGGGGUUAUGAGACUUCCUUUGCUGCUGGGUUGUUAAAAUGGCGAAAUAGAGCAAUGAUGUGUCACAUUACCCAAAGAAGUUCAACUUUCUCAUUUCCAAAAAUAUGUAGUAUAUUUUGGCGGUUUCAUCAUACAAGUACAUCCCACUGCUGCAGCUGCAGUAAGACAAUUAGUAAUGAAAAAUACCAAGACCCUUUUCAGCUUGGUAGAAAAGACUUGAAGAAUCUCUAUGAAGAUAUUAAAAAGGAAUUGCUGGUCUCUGCAGCAGAACUUAAGGAAAUGUGUGAUUAUUACUUUGAUGGGAAGGGAAAGGCCUUUCGACCAAUGAUUGUGGUGCUAAUGGCUCGGGCUUGCAACAUUCACCAUAAUAAUUCCAAGGAGGUGCAAGCAAGCCAGCGCUCUGUGGCCAUUAUUGCUGAGAUGAUCCAUACAGCCAGUCUAGUUCAUGAUGAUGUUAUUGAUGAUGCAAAUUCUCGCAGAGGAAAAAGGACACUUAAUCAAAUCUGGGGAGAGAGAAAAGCUGUUCUAGCUGGUGACUUCAUCCUCUCAGCUGCUUCUGUAGCUUUAGCACGAAUUGGAAAUACUACUAUCAUCUCUGUUCUAACUCAGGUGAUUGAAGAUCUGGUGCGUGGUGAAUUCCUCCAACUGGGUUCCAAGGAAAACGAGAAUGAGAGAUUUGCUCACUACCUCGAGAAGACUUUUAAGAAGACAGCGAGUCUGAUAGCAAACAGUUGUAAAGCAGUAUGUUUCAAUUCUAGGCUGCCCCGAUCCUAAAGUUCAUGAGAUUGCAUACCAGUAUGGAAAAAACGUUGGCAUAGCUUUUCAGCUGAUAGAUGAUGUGCUGGAUUUUACAUCGUGUGCCGACCAUCUGGGGAAACCAACAGCAGCAGAUCUCAAGCUCGGAUUAGCCACAGGCCCCGUUUUGUUUGCUUGUCGACAGUUUCCAGAAAUGAAUGCUAUGAUAAUGAGGAGAUUCAGUAAGCCAGGAGAUGUUGAACGUGCACGGAAAUAUGUGUUGCAGAGUGAUGGUGUGCAGCAAACCACCUACCUCGCCCAGCGCUACUGCCACGCCGCCACGCGCGAGAUCCGCAAGCUGCGGCCGUCACCCGAGAGAGAGGCCCUCGUGCACCUGACUGAAAUGGUUCUCAUGCGAGACAAGUGAGGGAACUCCUUCCACUCCUUCUGGCAGCUACUUACCAGACUGUGCCUAAAUUCAUUUCAAAGGUUAUUUGCUUCCAACACAAGCUACCAAAAAUUAUUUUUUUAGAACAAAACCUCUUUUUUUUUUUAAAGUUCUACUUUUUUUUUUAAACAGAAGUUUAAAAUGUUUUACUGCAGGAAGCCAUGCAAUUCAGAGCAAAUCAAACUGUGCUGUACAAUUGUUUUAGCGGGGGCUAUUGAUUGUGGGGGAUGGGGAAGAUGUUUACAUGUUGAUGCACAAAGGCCACAAUGAGAAUAAAUAUAAAUCAGUGUAUGAAAACGGAA